GAUCUCUCUCCUACUUUCCUGUUUUCCCCAAAUAGUGCUCAUGGACCACAAGCUGAGUGAAAUAUCAACAAGAAGUCAGUAACAGCAAAUCCACAUUCAUCAGUCAUUGCUUACACGGGCAUCCCAAAAGAAAAUCACUAA